rnacentral:rRNA from 1 species
GACGAACGCUGGCGGCGUGCUUAACACAUGCAAGUCGAACGGAAAGGCCCUGCUUUUGUGGGGUGCUCGAGUGGCGAACGGGUGAGUAACACGUGAGUAACCUGCCCUUGACUUUGGGAUAACUUCAGGAAACUGGGGCUAAUACCGGAUAGGAGCUCCUGCUGCAUGGUGGGGGUUGGAAAGUUUCGGCGGUUGGGGAUGGACUCGCGGCUUAUCAGCUUGUUGGUGGGGUAGUGGCUUACCAAGGCUUUGACGGGUAGCCGGCCUGAGAGGGUGACCGGCCAAAUGGGGAUGGAGAAAGGGCCCGAACGCCUAGGGGGGGAAGGGGGGGGGAAUAUUGCAAAAGGGGCGGAGGCGUAAUGCAGAAACCCCGGGGGGGGGAGGAGGGCCUUGGGGUUGAAAACCGCUUUCGCCGGGGACGAGGGGUGGGGGACGGUAAUGGGUAAAGAAGCACCGGCUAACUACGG